UCCCUCUUAGCUCAGUUGGUAGAGCGCGUCACUAGUAUCACCCGGAAGGCUAUCUUAUGACGAGGUCAGUCGUUCAAAUCGGCUAGCGGGAA